CUCAGGCAGGGAUUAGCUCGGCUCACAGGACUCGCAUCAUCUCUUGGGAUCGAUCGUUCCGACUCGUGUUCGUCAGCAAAUCCGGUCGCCGUAGGACGACGGCUGGUACUCCUGCCCCCCACAUGUCCCGCCUCACCUUCCCUUCUCCACCGCCGCCACCAUCCUGAUUGCCUCGCCCGCCAGGUGGCCGAGUCAUCCUCGCCGGCCUGGGAGCCGAGCCACCUGUCUCUUGCUGCGUUUGUGGGCUUCUCGUGGGCCUCCCGACGUGCGGCGCUCCUCUCUCUCUCUCUCUCUCUCUCUCGGCCUUCCACUUUCCAAGCGCGCGAGCGCGACGACAGGGGAGUGGCGCCGCCUUGCCUUCGACGGCGCUCCGCGGGCCGACUAGUAUGAGUAAAUGCAGACCAUAAAGCGCUUGCCGGAGAGCGCUCAUAGCUCCUUGCGUUCAAGCGUUGUUCUGUCUGACCUGCCAAGGGUUGUUGAGGAGUUGAUAUAUAAUAGCAUUGAUGCGAAUGCGAGCAAGAUUGACAUUGAAAUAAACGUCGGAGCAUGUUAUAUAAAAGUGGAAGAUGAUGGUUGUGGUAUUACACGAGAUGAAUUGGUUCUCUUGGGAGAAAAAUAUACAACAUCCAAAUUUCAUAAUGUGAUGGAGGAUGGGGAACUUAGUCCUAGAAAUUUUGGACUAAAUGGAGAAGCACUCGCAUCACUUUCUGAUAUCUCUGUGGUUGAAGUCAGGACGAAAGCUCGUGGGAGACCAAAUUCAUAUUGCAAGAUAAUAAAGGGAUCUAAAUGCUUACAUCUGGGAAUAGAUGACAAGAGGGAAAUUGUUGGCACCACAGUUGUUGUUCGGGAGCUUUUUUACAAUCAACCAGUACGGAGGAAACAAAUACAAUCUAGUGAGAAAAGAGAAUUACAUCAUGUGAAGAAGUGUGUUCUGCAAAUUGCGCUUAUUCAUCCACAGAUUUCAAUCAGACUCCUUGACACUGACAGCGAAGAUGAAUUGCUAAACUCAGCUUUUUCGUCAUUGCCUUUGCCUCUUAUAUCAAAAAGUUUUGGGGAUGAUGUCUCCAGAUGUCUCCAUGAGAUAUCUGCCUCUGACCAGGGCUGGGUUCUUUCAGGGCAUAUAUCUGGACCUGCAGAUGUGUUUCAUACGAAGGAUUUUCAAUACUUGUACAUCAACUCAAGAUUCGUGAAUAGAAACCCGAUUCAUAAUAUGCUCAAUAAUCUGGCAUCUAGUUUUCAAUCUUCCAUUAUGAGGACAAAUGAAGAAAUUGAUGUUCAGAGCAGGAAGAGGCAGAAGACUGAUGUACACCCUGCUUUUCUACUGAACUUUUGCUGUCCUAGAUCUAGCUACGAUCUACAUUUUGAGCCAACAAAAACCAUUGUGGAAUUCAAGGAUUGGCAAACCGUCUUGCUUUUCUUUGAACAAACUAUCACAAACUACUGGAAGAAGAAUGCACUGCAAUCACCAAAAGCUGACGGACUUUGCGGUGGCGAUACCAGUGUGCCUCUGAAAAAUGAUGUGAAAUUGAAUAAGGGACUCCUAAGGCAUCAUUAUGUGCAGAACAAUGAAGAGUAUGCUAACUUCCAAGACACUCAGCAGAAUAAUGCAGUCAGAGAUACCAACAGUGAUAUCAGUGCGACAGGAGCACUGAAAGACUCACACUGCUUUUCUUUUGAUAUGGAGCCAUCCAUACAGCAUGUCUCUUUUUCUGGACAGAUCACUAAUUCACCCUGGCUCCCUGACAAUGUUGCCAGUAUUGAUUACAAGUUAAGGUAUAAGGUAAUGCAAUCUCCUGAAAGAAUAAAUUAUCGGUGGUUAGAGGAUGGUCCUUCUCAGUUAGAUGCUGAUCUUUCAAGUGUUAACCCAACUGGUUGGAAAAGGCAAAGGACAGAAGGUCUAUUCCAUGAGUGUGCAUAUUCUGGUAAUUUUGGAAUGUUGGAGUACAUACCAACUGAAGGUUUUUUAGCUCACGAACAAGAAUCUGAGUUGAUUGGUUCAGAAGUUGAAACAAGAGAACCUUGCUUUGGGUCUUUCAAUAGGUCAGACAAAAUGACCUCUGAUUUGGUGCAAAAUCAAAUAAACAUAAAGGCACUCACAUCUGGCUGGGAUGGAUCCUAUGUUGAGUUUGAUAAAACAAAUGGGGAUUGCCUACUCAAUGAAGCUACGGAUACAAUUACUGAUAUUUCUUUCCCCGAGAUGUUACAGUUCAGUGAUGGAUUCUAUCAUAAUGAUGUUAACACCUCCAGGAGCUUCUGUAGAGUUUCGAGAAAGUGCAGGAUCAAUAAGAAGUUAGGGACUGCAACUGUAUGUGUUGAAGGCCUUGAAGCUGAUACUGUAAGCCAGAUGAACUUCCCUGAUAUUCAUGCUGUGUGGAACAGUGACUUGAUGGAUAGGCCCUGCAUUGGGGAUACUUCUCAUCAUUUUUCUCGUCUAUCCUCGUUUACUGAUACACCUUGCAGUCGUGCAAGGACUGGCUUGAUACUUCACAAGAAAUCAGAUAAAAGCUUUGGUUCUUGGAACUGUGAAAAUAUUGACAGCGAUGUUAGAUUUGCUUUGGACAGAUUUAGCAAUGUUUCAUCAAUGAUAUGUGAAGGAACUAAAAAUUUGGAUAACUUUGACAGUGCAAUACAGCCGCUUAAUUACUUCAAUAAAGAUUGUGGUUCAACUGACCAGUUUGGUUCUGAAGAUGACCUGAUAAUGUGGAAAUCAAAAUUUGACACGAGAUUUUCAGUUGAUAUUUCUCCCGAGAGAAGUGAUAAUGGUUGCCAUUUGAACAUCCCUUCUUCCAAUAUUGCAAAUGCUAACACACUUGCUCAAGAUCUGCUGAAUCAACACAACCUUGGACUGGACCAGAGAUCCAGGCCUUCCAAGGGCAGUAGAUCUAGGAGUCAUUCUGCUCCACCAUUUUAUAGAGUGAAACAGAAAUUCUCUCGAUUAAAUGAGCUGCUGAGCAAAUUGGCCAUAGAUGGCGAUAAAGGUAUCUGCACUAACAGCCCUGAAGGCAAUGCAUCUACACCUGUGGAUAUCUCACGUAUGAGUUCAACCCAGCCUGUUCCUGAGGCUGAUAGCAGUGAAUUUUCAGACUUAAGUUUCAGCUCGAAUGGAUUUGUGAAACUUGGAGAUGCAUGUUCUGAUGGGCUUGAGGAUUCAUCUGCUCAGAUAACUAAAUGGCGAGAUGACUCUGGCCAGCAUACAGUUUCAAACUUGCCACAUGGUCCUUAUGAAUUUUAUGAUGAUGUACUUAGCAUUUCUUCUGGGACCUUACAUCUCUCUUGUAACUCGCUAGUUCCUGAAUGUGUUGACAAGAACUGCUUUGAGGAGGCAAGGGUCUUGUUGCAGCUGGACAAGAAAUUUAUUCCUGUGAUAUCUGGGGAAACUAUUCUCCUUGUUGAUCAGCAUGCAGCUGAUGAAAGGAUACGUUUAGAGGAGCUCCGAAGAAAAGUUUUAUCAGAAGAAGGCCAUGUUGUCACUUACUUGGACUCUGAGGAGGAAUUAUCUCUCCCUGAGACUGGGUUUCAAUUGUUCCAGAAGUUUGCUGAGCAGAUUCGGAAAUGGGGCUGGAUCAUCAGCAGUGGUAGCAAUUCCUCUGAAUCAUUCAAAAAGAACAUGAACAUUCUGAGGAGACAAACCCGUCUUGUUACUCUUGUUGCUGUCAUGGAACCCUAUGUAAGUUGUUUGAUGUCCGUAAUUGUACACAUAGUAAUGACAAGAAUGAGACGGAAUGGUGAACUGAGACUUCAAAGGUUCAUGUCAAAUGUUUACGAGAAAUAUAUGAAUUUCCAGAUCUUCUUAUUUCUGUGGAGUUAUAUACGAAAACGGUGUUACAACCAAGUAUCUGAUUGAGCCUUGUUAGGUAAAUCGUAUGCCGUGUUCAUGUAUGGUAAACAUAAUUUGUGCUACACAGGUUCCAUGUAUUUUGGGUGUCAAUUUGACAGGGAAAGAUCUCAUGGAAUUUAUCCAGAAGCUUGAUGAGACUGAUGGGUCGUCAGCUAUGCCCCCAGCAGUUCUCCGUAUUCUCAACUUCAAAUCUUGCAGAGGGGCGAUCAUGUUUGGUGACCCCUUGCUACCAUCCGAAUGCUGUCUGAUUAUUGAAGAGCUGAAAGCAACAUCUCUAUGCUUCCAGUGUGCUCAUGGGCGCCCGACCACGGUGCCUAUAGUGAACGUCGCAUCUCUCCACGGCGAGCUAGCGAGGCACCAAAUGCUGAGCGGAAGGCAGGCGGAGACCUGGCACGGCUUGGCGCAUCAUGGGCCCAGCCUUGAGCGUGCUCAGAUGCGCCUCAAACAAUUGAGAAAGCUGCGCCGUGGCCUGUAGCUGUAGGACCAUAUCGAAUGGUUGAAAUCAGAUAAACGGGAGCGUGAUUUGUACAGUUUGUAGAGAAGGGAGUGGGAUUCCACUGUGUUGAAGUACCAUUGUACGUACGAUAGACAUUCCUUCCUGACGAGGAGAUAAAACGGCGCCCAUCACCUGACAGGCGACUGGGAUUUGCCAUGGCGUUGUUGUAAACUCUGUACAUUCUGGUUUGUUAUAUCAAUUCGUACCAUUCAUGAUCGGUUAAGAGUUGA